rnacentral:lncRNA from 1 species
CUCGUGCCGUUACGGCCAUCACGGCGGCCGCAGUGGCGUCCUGGAGCCCUCCUCAGGUGAGCUGGAGCUGCCCGGCUCGGCAGCGGGAAGAGACAGUCUCACUGUGUUGCCCAGGCUGGUUUUGAACUCCUGCGCUCAAGUGAUCUUCCCAUCUCUGCCUCCCAAAGAGCUAGGAUUACAGGAGUGAGCCACUGCACCCAGCAGCUUGAUGUUUCUAAGGUUCAUCCAUGUUAUAGCACAUACUGGUACUGUGUCUGGAAUUGGUGGGUUCUUGGUCUCUCUGACUUCAAGAAUGAAGCCGCGGACCCUCGCGUGCUGAAGCUGCUGAAAGAUGGCAGAAGAAGUGGUGGUAGUAGCCAAAUUUGAUUAUGUGGCCCAACAAGAACAAGAGUUGGACAUCAAGAAGAAUGAGAGAUUAUGGCUUCUGGAUGAUUCUAAGUCCUGGUGGCGAGUUCGAAAUUCCAUGAAUAAAACAGGUUUUGUGCCUUCUAACUAUGUGGAAAGGAAAAACAGUGCUCGGAAAGCAUCUAUUGUGAAAAACCUAAAGGAUACCUUAGAAAAAUGAACAGAGGAAUUAUUAUAGAAGUCUCUUAUGCACAACAAGCCUAAGGAAACAAAGAGUAACCUGACAAGAGAUUCCAG